rnacentral:misc_RNA from 1 species
GAAAUGCGAUAAGUAGUGUGAAUUGCAGAAUUCAGUGAAUCAUCGAAUCUUCGAACGCACAUUGCGCCCCUCGGUAUUCCGUGGGGCAUGCCUGUUCGAGCGUCAUCUACACCCUCAAGCUCUGCUUGGUGUUGGGCGUCUGUCCCGCCUCCGCGCGCGGACUCGCCCCAAAUGCAUUGGCAGCGGUUCCUUGCCCCCCUCUUUGCGCAGCACAUUGCCAUUCGAGGCGGCGGCGGCCCGCGUCCAACAAGCUCAACCCCCCCGUCUUUGACCUCGGAUCAGGUAGGGAUACCCGCUGAACUUAAGC